GGAUAUUGGGGGCUUUCGAGUUUUGUUCCGAAUAUAAGAAUCCACUUUAUUUUGUGUGAAAUACAUUAAUUCUGCUUCUUUAUUCCUUCCUCCUGUUUGAAGUGUUGCACUGUGGAGAUCAGAGAUCCUGAGGGAAAGAAGAACCCAUCAAAUCCCCCUCAGGAGCUAUUUUUCAGGACGAUCCCUUGGGAAGAUCAAAGUCAGGACACCUCAGGAGAAAAGCAAAGAGCGAAGCUUUCUGGUUUUUAUGACGGAGAUCAAACAGCGGUUGACCCUCCAAAUCAAGAGAGUCUUGUGUCCUUCGAGGAGGUGGCUGUGUCUUUCUCUGAGGAGGAAUGGUCUCAGCUGGAUCCUGACCAGAAAGCACUGCAUUCGGAAGUCAUGCUUGAAAACCAUAGGAACGUGGUCUCUCUGGCUAAACUUAAGCAGCUACGUCGUUCCAAAGAGGAAGCCUACAGAAAAGGUGAUAAAAUGCUGCACAAUCAGGCCAGAAAUGUAUUAACAAGGGAGAUCAGAGCAGCAAAAAGAAGCUACUCUGAAAAGCUAAAGAAUCAGUUCUCAACAAACGAAUCAGCAAACAUGUGGAAAACUUAAAAAUAUCACCGGCUACGGCAAACCUCCUUCUGAGGCUGAAGGAAAUCAACAACUGGCAGAUGACCUGAAUGAGUUUUACUGCAGGUUUGAAAGGAAACUACAGCCACUUGUCUCCACAACCCCCAUCCCAGACACACCAACAACAGCCAAACCUCCUACAACUGACCCCAUCCCAUUGGGUUAACAACCCCUGGUGAUCACAGAAAAGGAAAUGCAAGAUCUAUUUCAGACAGUAGCCUGGAAAAGCACCAGACCCAGACAAGAUAACUCCUUGCUUAAAAGUCUAUGCUGACCAAUUGACCCCCAUCUUCACCUGAAUCUUCAAUAAAUCACUAGAGAUGUGCUAUGUUCCUUCUUGCUUCAAAUGCUCCAGUAUCAUCCCAGUGCCGAAGAAGCCCUCCAUCAAGGAACUGAAGGAUUACAGACCAGUUGCUUUAACAUGUUUAGUUAUGAAAACUUUUGAAAGGCUAGUAAAGUCCAACAUGUAAACCAUCAC